rnacentral:rRNA from 1 species
AUGAUGGUUAUUGCAGUUGGACAGUUUCUCUUGGCACUUGUGGCUUGCAGUACCCAUGUCAUCGUCUGCUCCUCACAUGGAAAUGCGACAGAUCGGUUAUCACUGCUUGAAUUCAAGGAGGCAAUCAGUCUUGAUCCCCAGCAAGCUCUGAUGUCCUGGAAUGACAGCAUGGACUUCUGUAACUGGGAAGGUGUCUCGUGUAGGCCUAAGAAUCGACAUCGCGUCAUUUCCCUCGACCUCAGUGGUCGAGGCUUACAAGGGCGCAUCUCUCUUUCACUCGGAAAUCUUACAUUUCUAAGAAAUCUAUCCCUACCAGGCAAUCUGUUCAUUGGACAAAUCCCUGGGUCCCUUGGUCACCUGCAGCACCUCCAGAAUCUCUACUUGAGUAAUAACACACUCGAGGGUGAGAUACCAGACUUCGCAAAUUGUUCUAGUCUGCAGAUGCUAUGGCUGGAUCGCAAUCACCUAGUUGGACAAAUCCCUACACAUGCCAAUUUUCCUCCUCACCUUCAAAGCCUGCUGAUUUCAUAUAACAAUCUUACCGGCAAAAUUCCCGUUUCACUUUUUAACAUCACAACACUGACUCGACUUGAUAUCUCGUCAAAUCGGAUCAGUGGCGAGAUCCCAAGUGAAAUUGGAAAUAUGCCCAUGCUGCAGUUCUUUUUCGCCUGGGGAAAUAAGCUAUCAGGAAGGUUCCAACCAGCCAUCCUCAAUGUGUCUUCUCUUGUUGUACUAAGCCUUGCCUCCAACUAUCUAAGUGGCCAGCUGCCAUCCAACCUUGGUAGUUCAUCACCCAAUCUUCAAAAGUUUGGUUUAUUUAACAACUUGUUUGAUGGGCCUAUCCCAAAUUCGCUGGUGAAUGCUUCUAAGCUAUCCUUGGUUGAUUUGUCGAGUAAUAAUUUCACUGGGGUGGUGCCUAGUUCUAUUGGCAAACUUAAAGAGCUCUCCUGGUUGAAUCUUGAAUACAAUCAGUUACAAGCACGUGACAAGCAAGACUGGGAGUUUAUGAAUAGUCUAAGCAAUUGCACUGAGCUACAGAAAUUGUCGCUGCGUGGGAAUCGUCUUGAAGGACGGUUAUCAGAUACAUUUGCCAACCUUUCUGGCAAACUCGAAAUGUUCUUCUUCGGAAGGAACAGACUAUCAGGGGGUUUCCCUGCCGGUAUAGCUAACCUUCACAGCCUGGAGUUUUUGGCAUUGGAUGAAAACCAGUUUACCGGUGUCAUUCCGGGAUGGCUAGGAACUCUAGAGAGCUUGCGGGCUAUCAUAUUAAGGAACAACGCUUUUACAGGAUAUAUUCCAUCUUCCCUCUCUAAUUUAUCUCUACUGGGGGAACUCGUUUUGGAUUCUAACCAGUUGUAUGGGCAUAUACCCCCGAGUUUGGGAGACCUCAAAACCCUUGAAGCAUUGAAGCUUUCCAAUAACAUUCUUGAUGGUAGCAUUCCAAAGGAGAUAUUCAGCAUUCCUACAAUUAGAGAAAUUGCGCUAUCUUCAAAUAGCCUAGGCGGACCACUUCCCACCGAAGUAGGCCGUGCCAAGCAACUACAGUACUUGUAUCUUUCAUCUAAUAACCUGUCCAGUGCCAUCCCUGACACACUGGGUAACUGUGACAGUAUGGAAUACAUUGAGUUGGAUCAGAAUUUUCUUAGUGGAAGCAUUCCAGCGUCACUAGGCAGCAUCAGAAACUUGAAAGUACUCAAUGUGUCUCACAACCGCUUAUCAGCAUCCAUACCGAAGUCUAUUGGCAGCCUGAUGUAUCUUGAACAACUAGAUUUGUCAUUCAACCGUCUCGAAGGCGAAGUCCCAGAAAUUGGCAUAUUCAAGAAUGUGACUGCUUUAUGGGUAGAUGGGAACAAGGGGCUUUGUGGUGGUGCAGCGAAGCUACACCUACUGGCCUGCCCUGUCAUACCUUCAAAUUCAACUAAGCACGUGACAUCAACAGUGCUCAAAGUAGUGAUCCCAUUAGCCAGCAUGGUGUCACUUGCUGUGGUCAUAUCUGUCUUGCUAUUCAGGAGGAGAAAACGGAAGAAUAUUUACAUGUCUCUCCCUUCUUUUGGUCGAAAGUUUCCCAGGGUUUCUUGCCACGAUCUUGACAGAGCAACUGAUGGCUUCUCCACAUCCAACUUGAUUGGCAGAGGAGGAUACAGUUCUGUGUACAAAGGUAGACUGUUGCAAGAUGGAACUAUUGUUGCUGUUAAAGUUUUCACCCUAGAGACAAGAGGAGCACAAAAGAGCUUCAUUGCGGAAUGCAAUGCUUUGAGAAAUGUGCGGCACCGGAAUCUAGUUCCUAUCCUAACUGCUUGCUCGAGUAUCGAUUCUAAAGGGAAUGAUUUCAAAGCCCUAGUAUAUGAAUUCAUGCCAAAGGGUGACUUGCACGCACUACUGUACUCAGCUUUGGGUGAUGAAAACACUUCAAAUUCAGAGCGCAUUACACUAGCUCAAAGGCUGAGCAUUGUGGUGGAUGUAGCAGAUGCACUGGAGUACCUCCACCAUGACACCCAAGGAGUUAUUGUUCAUUGUGAUUUGAAGCCUAGCAACAUUCUUUUGGAUGAUAAUAUGACAGCUCAUGUUGGAGAUUUUGGCCUUGCGAGGUUCAAAGCUGGUCCGACACAGUCAUAUUUCGGUGACUCAAACUCUGCUUCUUCGACUGUAAUAAAAGGAACGAUCGGAUAUGUCGCUCCAGAGUGGGCAACUGGUCGUGAAGUUUCAGUUGCUGGGGACGUUUAUAGCUAUGGGAUUAUUCUGUUCGAAACAUUUUUGAGGAAGAGACCGACAGAAGAUAUGUUCAAGGAUGGACUGAGCAUCACAAACUUUGUUCAGAUGAAUUUUCCUGCUGGGAUAUCACAGAUUGUUGACUCUGACUUGCUACAAGAUCGUCCAGUAGCCACGAAGGAAAAAGAUUUGGACUGUUUAGUCUCGGUGCUAAACGUUGGACUUUGCUGCACCAAGUUGUCCCCGAGUGAGCGCCCCAACAUGCAUGAAGUGGCUGCAAGCCUUCACGGAGUUAAGGAGGCAUAUCUUGGAGGGAGAUAA